ACUAUGUUGCCCAGGCUGGUUUCAAACUCCUGGGCUCAAGUGAUCCUCCCAUCUCAGCUUCCCAAAGUUCUGGGAUUUUAGGCAUGAGCCACUGCGCCCAGCCCAAUAUUGUAUUAUAUAAGCAAAUCUUGAGAUCAACUCUCACUUCUUUAAUAUAGGAACAAUGACAAUGACAGUUUCCUAACUGAAUACCUGACCACAGGGGCUAGACUACAUGAUCGCCUAAAAUCUGUUCCAGCUCUAAGAUCUGGAAUUUAUUAUCUGAUCCUUCACACCUGAUUAUAAAGCUUCUGCUUGAACAUGUCCAUCUACUUCAAAUUCUAUUGUUUGAAAGCUUUAAUCAUUUUUUUUUUUUUUAGCUGAAACUGUCAUCCUUGAAUUUCUCCUCAGGACAGUUCUCCUAUUCUCCAGGAGACCUUCAAAGUCCCUUCCAACUCUGAAAUUUUAAGAUUCUAUGAAAUGUAGACGUAUGGAGUGAGGUUUCAGGCAGUUUUGAAAGGAUCAUAACUGUAGUUUCCAUUUGCAUUAAGUGUGAAUUGUACUGAAGUGGGUGUUCUUUGGUGUACCCCAUAAUAUCUCAAACAUUAUUUGGUAUACAGUACAUACUCAUUAAGAAUUAUAGCCUCAUUAGACUAUGAUAUAGAUUAGUCAAUCUCAAUUCUGAUCAUUUAAACUCCAUUAUAUGCUAUUACCAAAUAUUAAUCUUUUAAACAACAGAAAUAAUUCAUAUAUUUGUAAAAUAAAAUCAAAAACAUAGAUAGGAAAUUGUUAAAGGUUUAAAUUAAACUCUAAAUUCCACGAGAGUUGUUGGGCAAGUCUUCCUUUUUCUAUGCACAACUCCCUCUGGAGUUUUUAACCCUGUACCAUGAAAAUUCCUGAUGAGCAAAAACUUGAAAGCAAGGUAUGGGAAAGAGUUACAAAUACUCUGGUCCAAGCUAAAAUCACUUGUGGGGAUGAUGCAACCUCAAUUUAACAGAAACUACAACAUCUUCCCCUUAGUAUGACAAUAAACUUCCAGAGAAAAAUGCAAGAAACAAGAAUGCCUAGAGCUGAGAGGGAGAGUUGGGUUAGGAGUGAUGGCUAAGGAGUGCAUGGUUUCUUUUUGAGGUUAUUAAAAUGUUCUAAGAGUGACUGUGGUGAUGAAUAUAUAACUCUGAAUAUCCUAAUGAAUAUAUAACUGUGAAUUUACUAAAAGUCACUGAAUUUGUACACUUCAAGUGGCAAAUUAUAUGGUAUGUGAAUUAUAUCUCAAAGCUGAUUUAAAAAAAAAAAAAAAAAGAAAAAGAAAGAAAGAAAGAAAGAAAAGCAAAUAUCCUUUAAGAGGUACUUGAAACUUACCUCCUUCUCCAGAUCCAGAUCCAUUAUCUGAGAAGAAAAACAAAGAAUGAAUAUGAACAUUUUUCCCGGAAAUUUCAUCUUAUCAAAUAAUAAAAUUUCCUAUCAAAAAUAAAACUGUGAUAUCCAUUCUCAAAGAGUCCUUUUCUCAUAUUUUUGAUAUCUUAUUUAUUCUUACAUACUUAUUUUAUGCUGCUCUUAAAAUAUAAAUUGCUUAGAUACAUAAUCAUCUAUAUUUCAUACAUCUUUGUAUCCCAUUAAGGACAUACCCAGAUGCUUUGCACAGAGUAAAGACAAUAAAUACUGUAAAGUAAAAGGCUAAAUAUAAAUAAUUAAUUUUAAUCCACUCAUUUAAA
rnacentral:lncRNA from 1 species